GCUUCCCUGUCUGGGAGAUUUCACCACUUCAACUUGGCUGGGAAAUACUGCAAUCAAAAUGUAUUUUGCAGUUCAGUAAAGCAGAAUGAAAUGAUUGUACGGAACCGACAUGAUCGAUCAUAUUUGCUGUCAAUAUACACAAAGUUCAGUCAAACCACGUUCUCAACAGUAAAUUCUGAAAUGGUCAUCAAGAGAAGCAAGUAAAAGGGCAGCUCGGUGUACUAAGCAACGAGCCACAGCGCUAAAGAGUGAGAUGUAGGCCGUCUACCCCUGUGACCUAUAGAUCACACGGAGACAACUUUACCGUUGCUGCAAGGCAACCCUUCAAGUCAGAAGCAAACUGAAGUACAAAUUAUGUAACUGGGAAAAAAAAACUUACC